rnacentral:rRNA from 1 species
UACGUACCGUCCAAACGUUAUUCGGAAUUACUGGGCUUAAAGGGUUUGUAGGCGGCGCUGUUAGUCGGGUGUGAAAUCCCAGGGCUCAACCCUGGAACUGCGCCCGAUACUGCAGUGCUUGAGGGAGACAGAGUAAGCGGAACUGAUGGUGGAGCGGUGAAAUGCGUUGAUAUCAUCAGGAACACCGGUGGCGAAAGCGGCUUACUGGGUCUCUUCUGACGCUGAGAAACGAAAAGCUAGGGGAGCGAAGGGG